rnacentral:misc_RNA from 1 species
UCUCCGCUUGCGCGGGCAGUCUUUCUAGAGUCCCCACCAUUAUGUGCUGGCAACUAGAAAUAAGGGUUGCGCUCGUUGCGGGACUUAACCCAACACCUCACGGCACGAGCUGACGACAGCCAUGCAGCACCUUGCUCCUUGUCCUUGCGGAACGAUCCGUCUCCGGACCCAUCAAGGGCAUUCUAGCCCAGGUAAGGUUCCUCGCGUAUCAUCGAAUUAAUCCGUAUGCUCCGCCGCUUGUGCAGGCCCCCGUCAAUUCCUUUGAGUUUUAGCCUUGCGGCCGUACUCCCCAGGCGGGGAACUUAAUGCGUUAGCUGCGACACAGAAUCCGUGGAAUGGACCCUACACCUAGCACUCAACGUUUACGGCUGGGACUAC